UGAACUGUAUUCACCCCAGUUUAAUACUGAGGAUGACCCUCACGCCACUGACCUCGUUGGGGGCUUAAUGUCUCUCUGCUUGGACUAAGGGGCUGCCUGCUGCUCUUCUCCCAGGGAACCCUCAACCUAGGGCAGCAGAAAGGAACAGUGUUCUAGACAGUCCAUUGAUUCCCUCCUCCAGUGUCUCUUAGGGUUUUACAAGUCACUUAUUUAAAUAAGACAUUUCAAUUGUAUUAAAGC
rnacentral:lncRNA from 1 species